rfam:Nosema ceranae BRL01 Nc000369, whole genome shotgun sequence.
UCCUUGUUAGUCCAGUGGUUAGGAUAUCGGUCUUUCACACCGGGGGCCCGGGUUCGAUUCCCGGACGAGGAA